GAUGAACGCUGGCGGCGUGCUUAACACAUGCAAGUCGAACGGGAUCCCAGGAGCUUGCUCCUGGGUGAGAGUGGCGAACGGGUGAGUAAUGCGUGACCGACCUGCCCCAUACACCGGAAUAGCUCCUGGAAACGGGUGGUAAUGCCGGAUGCUCCAGUUGGAUGCAUGUCCUUCUGGGAAAGAUUCUAUCGGUAUGGGAUGGGGUCGCGUCCUAUCAGCUUGAUGGCGGGGUAACGGCCCACCAUGGCUUCGACGGGUAGCCGGCCUGAGAGGGCGACCGGCCACAUUGGGACUGAGAUACGGCCCAGACUCCUACGGGAGGCAGCAGUGGGGAAUAUUGCACAAUGGGCGCAAGCCUGAUGCAGCGACGCCGCGUGCGGGAUGACGGCCUUCGGGUUGUAAACCGCUUUUGACUGGGAGCAAGCCCUUCGGGGUGAGUGUAC
rnacentral:rRNA from 1 species